rnacentral:pre_miRNA from 1 species
AUUAAUCUUUCCGUGUUCAACAUUUGACCAUUCAUCUUAUUUGAAAAAUUUGUAAAAAACUUUAAAAAAAUUAGUCAUAUAUAAAGUACUAUUCAUAUUUUAUCAUCUAGUAAUAAUAAAAAUAUUAAUCGCAAAAAAUUUUUAAAUAAGAUGAAUGAUCAAACGUUGGACACGGAAAAAC